rnacentral:rRNA from 1 species
GAUGAACGCUAGCGGCAGGCCUAACACAUGCAAGUCGAGGGAGAAGCCCUUCGGGGCAGAAACCGGCGCACGGGUGCGUAACGCGUAUGCAACCUACCUUUCACAGGGGGAUAGCCCGAAGAAAUUUGGAUUAAUACCCCAUAAUAUUAUUGGAUGGCAUCAUUUGAUAAUUAAAAUUACGAUGGUGAAAGAUGGGCAUGCGUCCUAUUAGCUAGUUGGAGUGGUAACGGCACCCCAAGGCUACGAUAGGUAGGGGUCCUGAGAGGGAGAUCCCCCACACUGGUACUGAGACAGGGACCAGACUCCUACGGGAGGCAGCAGUGAGGAAUAUUGGUCAAUGGUCGGAAGACUGAACCAGCCAUGCCGCGUGCAGGAAGAAUGCCCUUAUGGGUUGUAAAACUGCUUUUAUAUGGGAAGAAUAAAGGAAGUAC